ACGGGUGAGUAAUACAUCGGAACGUAUCCUGGAGCGGGGGAUAGCCCGGCGAAAGCCGGAUUAAUACCGCAUACGCUCUGAGGAGGAAAGCGGGGGACCUUCGGGCCUCGCGCUCAAGGGGCGGCCGAUGGCGGAUUAGGUAGUUGGUGGGGUAAAGGCCUACCAAGCCGACGAUCCGUAGCUGGUCUGAGAGGACGACCAGCCACACUGGGACUGAGACACGGCCCAGACUCCUACGGGAGGCAGCAGUGGGGAAUUUUGGACAAUGGGGGCAACCCUGAUCCAGCAAUGCCGCGUGUGUGAAGAAGGCCUUCGGGUUGUAAAGCACUUUUGUCCGGAAAGAAAUCAUCGGGGCCAAUACCCCUGGUGGAUGACGGUACCGGAAGAAUAAGCACCGGCUAACUACGUGCCAGCAGCCGCGGUAAUACGUAGGGUGCGAGCGUUAAUCGGAAUUACUGGGCGUAAAGCGUGCGCAGGCGGUGCUGUAAGACCGAUGUGAAAUCCCCGGGCUUAACCUGGGAACUGCAUUGGUGACUGCAGCGCUGGAGUAUGGCAGAGGGGGGUGGAAUUCCACGU
rnacentral:rRNA from 1 species